UUAACUCAAAUUUGUAUGCAGUUGGAACAGCGCCCCUAGCGGCAAACGUAGGCAAACGUUCCAGCUCCAUACAAAUUUGAGUUA
rnacentral:pre_miRNA from 1 species